rfam:Dipodomys ordii contig_24150, whole genome shotgun sequence.
GGUGGCUCAGUGGUAGAGUGCUUGCCUUGCAUGCAUGAGGCCCUGGGUUCGAUUCCCAAGCACCA